rnacentral:rRNA from 1 species
UGCCUAAGACAUGCAAGUCGAGCGGGGGGUAGCAAUACCUCUAGCGGCGGACGGGUGAGUAACACGUGGAUAACCUGCCUGAAGCUCCGGGAUAACAGGCCGAAAGGCUUGCUAAUACCGGAUAAGCUCACGGAGUCGCAUGGCUCCGGGAGAAAAGGCGCUGCAAGGCGCUGGGUUCAGAGGGGUCCGCGGCCCAUUAGCUAGUUGGGGGGGUAACGGCCCACCAAGGCGACGAUGGGUAGCCGGCCUGAGAGGGCGAACGGCCACACUGGGACUGAGACACGGCCCAGACUCCUACGGGAGGCAGCAGUCGGGAAUUUUGCGCAAUGGCCGCAAGGCUGACGCAGCAACGCCGCGUGAGUGAAGAAGGCCUUCGGGUUGUAAAGCGC